UCAGGAUGAACGCUAGCUACAGGCUUAACACAUGCAAGUCGAGGGGCAGCAUUGGAGUAGCAAUACUCAGAUGGCGACCGGCGCACGGGUGAGUAACACGUAUCCAACCUGCCGCUUACUCGGGGAUAGCCUUUCGAAAGAAAGAUUAAUACCCGAUGGUAUAAAGAGUUCGCAUGUUCUCUUUAUUAAAGAAUUUCGGUAAGCGAUGGGGAUGCGUUCCAUUAGAUAGUUGGCGGGGUAACGGCCCACCAAGUCUACGAUGGAUAGGGUUCUGAGAGGAAGGUCCCCCACAUUGGAACUGAGACACGGUCCAAACUCCUACGGGAGGCAGCAGUGAGGAAUAUUGGUCAAUGGACGAGAGUCUGAACCAGCCAAGUAGCGUGAAGGAUGACUGCCCUAUGGGUUGUAAACUUCUUUUAUAAGGGAAUAAAGUGAGGGACGUGUCCCUUUUUGUAUGUACCUUAUGAAUAAGGAUCGGCUAACUCCGUGCCAGCAGCAGC
rnacentral:rRNA from 1 species